GACCAGAGCAGACGGCUAGUCUGAGCUAGCGGUAAAUAACUUUACAAUUACACUGUUAUUAUAUAUAUCUAGGCUAUAAGACGAGAUUUUAACGGAUUUAAGUUGUCGAACAGAUAACUUAAAACAUCAGUGACUGUGUUCUGGGACAGUUUAAUGAGUUUAAAGAACGUGAGUAGCCUGCCUCUUGACGCCUAGCCUGGGCGCCAUAUUAGCUCGUAGUGCUCGAGCCAGAGGCAGUCACCAUCGUCCUCGGUGCACACGGGAUGUUUAAAACUUUGCUGAGUUGCCGAGACAGGAGGAUUCCUUUACCUUUCGUUUGGAUAAGACGGAUGGAGAGAAAGCAGUGACGCAAGCGCGAACAGGUCGACACAAGGAGCGGGACUCUCCACUCUCCCAAUUUUCCAUUGCCUCAAGUCCUACUGUCACUGCAGGAGGCAGCUGGAUGCGGUAGAAAGAGAGGAGAGGGGUCUUAAUCCUUCUCCGUGAGAGAAGGUAUCAUCUGGGAGCAGAGGAAGCAGAGCUGCUGCCUCACACCUGAGAAAGGUGCUGGAAGACUUAUAAGCUGGUGUUAUUGGACACGGACAUGGUCAUCACAAUCCCUAGAGUGUCAGGGAGCGGGUCCUCUUCCACAGAGUCUGCCAUGUUGCACCGCCAUGUUUCUACAGUAGCCCUGAACGGACAAACCACUGGCUUGAGGUCCAGGACAGCCAUCUGUAUUGCUGCUGUAGGUCAAAAACAACAAAGAUUUUGUGAUUUGCCUCCAAUUCUGUGGCCCAUAAAAAUGGCUGUCUCAUCCAAAUAUUGACAUUGUCCCAUCACAGUCUGUCAUCACAGGAAUGAUGGCUGUAAGGUGUUGAAUGACCCACAUAGAUCUAUAUGCCACGGGCUGUCUUUAAUCUGGAGACCAUAGAGAAGGCACAUGAAGAAGAGACCCUUAACCAACAUAGAGAGAAAAUAAAGAAUGGCUCCAUGUGGACACAGGAAGAGAUUGAAACACUCCAGCUCUCUUUUCCAUUUGUCAUCAUUUAGGAUUAGUUUGUGAGCCUAGUCAAUACUGGACAUGUAUUGAAUGAUGAAGCGCUUUAAUAGCUGAAAGCACAAAAAAUGCAGGUCACGAAUACUAGUUAGCAUUUCCGUUAUCACACAAUAUUAUACUGUACUCAUGGGUGAGCAGGACUAUGGAUGUUUGUUCAAUUUGUGACAGUUUUGAAUAAAUAAGGCAGUGAAUUAUUGACAAUAUGCCAGGUGACUACAUGGCUUUCCAAAGGUGACCUUUUUACCAAGAUUAGUUUGCCCUUCCAUGGUCUAAAUGAUGAGGAUGAAUUACUGGUCACUCCUACUGGAAAACUGGAAUUGAGG
ensembl:lncRNA